GUUGCCCCUGUAUUGACGCAAUUUUUUUUUUAAGAGAAACGUUACGUACGUCACCGCGCUUUUUUGAAAUCACCGCCAUCAAAAACGGUGCCAUCACGUGACGUGCGCCACCAGGUUCAAUUUGCCAGUGCGCCGCCCUGCCAUGAUGUCAGUUUCUCCUGGAUACUUGCCGUCGAGUCAGUCUAGAACAGUUUCAAGCCUCCAUUUUGUAUCAAUGUUCCAGUACGUUGUUACAUUUCUACUGAUUGUAGUUAUCAUAACGGUCCAAUGUGCCCCUAUAAAUUACAGUUCGCACAACUGUGUCCUGCGAGUCAAGAAGAUUAAUAAUUCCGACGUGAAUAGUCGCAUUGUACAUUGAUAUUUUCUUAUUGUUGCUGAUUGCGAACACUUGCUGUCGACUGUCAAAUACUUGAGAACGAUUUGCCAUACCAUCUAUCGAAAUUUGCGACGGUUGUUUUCUAUCGGAUCGGAAAUCAAUAUUCGAUUCGAAAUAAGAUGAAUUUGUUCGAGCUGGUUUCAUCAGGGGGAAUGCGGUGUCACAAACAUCAGCAUUUGACCGAUAGCAGACAUAGGAUCGUAGACUCCACCGGAAAGCAAGCAGAGCGUCUUAUCUAUUGUUUGUUACUAUCUCGAUUAAACUACUACCCCACUUAGUGAGGAGACCCUGUACGGUCAUGUCUUUUUGUCAUAAGAGAUACUCUUGUACUUGAUAUUUGGUGAAAAAAUACAUAACAUUAUGUCAUCCGUAAUUAUCGUUCUUGGAUGCGAUAAAGACCAGAGGAGGAAUUCAGAAAAUAUUGCACGACGGCUGAAUUGGUGCAAAAAAUGUGGUGUGGUGUGGAAAAUAUGCACCAGAUAAGCUGCUCAUAUGUGCUCUGAUAGCAGCGUGAUCAUAAACUCGGAAUAAUUAAAUUGCGACCGAAGCAAUAUUAAUUACACUAAUGAUGUGGGACAAAGCAGAUAAGAACGUUGGAACUGAGAAACACAAAAGAUAACCGACACUACUAGAGCAAGGCUAGAUUUUGAAGGCAAACGUCAUCGAAUGAAGGAAGGAAUCGCAGUCAGGAGAUAUAGAGACGCAUAAUCGGAUCAAGUGCAACGCGCUAUUGCUUACGUCAAAAACAUCAAGAAAGUUGUAUACGAUAACGAGAAAGUUUACGACACGCACCCCCAACCUGACAAGUAAAUGUUAUUUGAAUUUUGUAAAGCUCUUCCGUCAAAAUUUAUUCAAGGGAAAGUUGUCGGCGAAUGGCGUGCUACUGGUGAAUUGUAUUCAGCUUCGGAACAUAAAUGAAACAAGACGUUAUC